rnacentral:rRNA from 1 species
UACGGGGGGAGCAAGCGUUGUUCGGAUUUACUGGGGGUAAAGGGCGCGUAGGCGGUCGUGACAAGUCACUUGUGAAAUCUCCGGGCUUAACUCGGAAAGGUCAAGUGAUACUGUCGGACUAGAGUACAGAAGGGGCAACUGGAAUUCUCGGUGUAGCGGUGAAAUGCGUAGAUAUCGAGAGGAACACCUGCGGCGAAGGCGGGUUGCUGGGCUGAUACUGACGCUGAGGCGCGAAAGCUAGGGGAGCGAACGGG